rnacentral:tRNA from 1 species
CUCUCGGUAGCCAAGUUGGUUUAAGGCGCAAGACUGUAAAUCUUGAGAUCGGGCGUUCGACUCGCCCCCGGGAGK